AUUGAACGCUGGCGGCAGGCCUAACACAUGCAAGUCGAACGAGUGGCGGACGGGAGAAAAAUGUCGGGGAAACUCCCUGAUGGAGGGGGAAAACUACUGAAAACGGUAGCAUAUCCCGCAUACCAUCAGAUGUGCCCAUAGGGGAUUAGCUUGUUGGGGGGGUACCGGCUCACCAAGGCGACGAUCCCUAGCUGGUCUGAGAGGAUGACCAGCCACACUGGAACUGAGACACGGCCCAGACUCCUACGGGAGGCAGCAGUGGGGAAUAUUGCACAAUGGGCGCAAGCCUGAUGCAGCCAUGCCGCGUGUAUGAAGAAGGCCUUAGGGUUGUAAAGUACUUUCAGUGGGGAGGCGUUACCCGCAGAAGAAGCACCGGCUAACUCCGUGCCAGCAGCCGCGGUAAUAC
rnacentral:rRNA from 1 species